CAAAAUCCUAAAUCUAAUAGAAUACUAAUUAAAUUCUAAUUAGACCAUAAUAAUGCUAAAUAAGAUUUAAUCAAAUUUAAAGAAACCUCAAAAUAAUUACAAAGUAAUAAUAAAAAAUCUUAAAGAAAUAUUAGAAUGAAUACAAAUAUAUCUCAAAUACAUCUCAAUUCAAUCUUAAUUUAAUCCUACUUAAAAUCCUAUUAGAUUCUAUUCAAAAUUUAGGCCAAAAAAAAAUUAAAUCUUAAAUCCUAAAUAAAUCCUAAUAAAAUCCUAAAUCCAAAACCAAAUCCUAAUCAAAUCCUAAAUCAAAUCCUAAUCAAAUCUUAAACCUUAAAUCAAACCCUAACCAAACCUUAAAUCCAACACCAAA
rnacentral:lncRNA from 1 species